rnacentral:SRP_RNA from 1 species
UUCGUUAAAGGCAGCGGCAAACAGGGCCAGGCUGGAAAGCAAGCUAGCAAAACUCAC